rnacentral:tRNA from 1 species
GGAGACGUGGCGGAGUGGUUGAACGCGCCCGGUUGGAAACCGGGUAGACCUGGAAACGGGUCUCAUGGGUUCAAAUCCCAUCGUUUCCGCCA